GAGCACGUGUGGCCGUUAGGCUUUCACACGUGGGCAACCCCCUCUGAUACCAUGAAGGAAGCCAAUUGGCAAUGGGGGGAGUAACCAAACUCCUUAUAAGACCUUGCAAGGUUUUCUAACUUUCUAAUGUGGGACUCUUUUACUUUCAUAUUCUCACACGCCCCCACACGUGUGACGAAUUUUCAAGCCACACGUGGACAACAUAUUUUGGGUGACGUGGAGCACGUGUGGCCGUUAGGCUUUCACACGUGGGCAACCCCCUCUGAUACCAUGAAGGAAGUUGAGAUUCCACUCCAAAACCAAUUGACUUACAUGUGAAAAGCACCCAAUCCCCAUC
rnacentral:lncRNA from 1 species